rnacentral:rRNA from 1 species
AGACCCGAAACCCGGUGAUCUAGCCAUGGGCAGGUUGAAGGUUGGGUAACACUAACUGGAGGACCGAACCGACUAAUGUUGAAAAAUUAGCGGAUGACCUGUGGCUGGGGGUGAAAGGCCAAUCAAACCGGGAGAUAGCUGGUUCUCCCCGAAAGCUAUUUAGGUAGCGCCUCGUGAAUUCAUCUCCGGGGGUAGAGCACUGUUUCGGCUAGGGGGCCAUCCCGGCUUACCAACCCGAUGCAAACUGCGAAUACCGGAGAAUGUUAUCACGGGAGACACACGGCGGGUGCUAACGUCCGUCGUGAAGAGGGAAACAACCCAGACCGCCAGCUAAGGUCCCAAAGUCAUGGUUAAGUGGGAAACGAUGUGGGAAGGCCCAGACAGCCAGGAUGUUGGCUUAGAAGCAGCCAUCAUUUAAAGAAAGCGUAAUAGCUCACUGGUCGAGUCGGCCUGCGCGGAAGAUGUAACGGGGCUAAACCAUGCACCGAAGCUGCGGCAGCGACACUCAGGUGUUGUUGGGUAGGGGAGCGUUCUGUAAGCCUGUGAAGGUGGCCUGUGAGGGUUGCUGGAGGUAUCAGAAGUGCGAAUGCUGACAUAAGUAACGAUAAAGCGGGUGAAAAGCCCGCUCGCCGGAAGACCAAGGGUUCCUGUCCAACGUUAAUCGGGGCAGGGUGAGUCGACCCCUAAGGCGAGGCCGAAAGGCGUAGUCGAUGGGAAACGGGUUAAUAUUCCCGUACUUGGUGUUACUGCGAAGGGGGGACGGAGAAGGCUAUGU